AGUGGCGCUAUCUCAGCUCACUGCAACCUCCACCUCUCAGGCUCAAACGACCUUCCCACCUCAGCCUCCCAAGAAGCUGGGACCACAGGUGCGUGCCACCAUGCCCAGCUAACUUUUUGGUACCAAAACAACACAAUUUGACCAGAUUGCCCAGGCUGGUCUCGAACUUCUGAGCUCAGACAAUCCACCCAUCUCGGCUUCCCAAAGUGUUGGAAUUCCAGGCGUAAGCCACUGCGCCUGGCCAAUGAUGUGUGAUUUUGUUUUAACAAAAGAAAAAAGGAGGGGGACGAACCUGUCUUGAAUAUGGCAAAAUGUUGCUUUUAUUGACUCUUCAGGAGGUGAGUACAUGUGUUACGUUAUUCUCUGAACUUUUCUGUGUGCCCAAGAUAUAUCAUAAUGAAAACAGCGUGGAAAAAAACAAAGGGCAUGUGUAGUUCCAGGUUCCUGUCAGUGAGUUCUAGAUAAAAGAGACCCUGGCUUGUGAGGACCUGCUCCCUGCUAGGUCUUACAGGUCAGUUGUAGUGGAGCACAAGACCUGCUCAUAGGCCUUGUCCUGAGCCCACUGAGCUGGGUAGGUGCUGGGCCCUGUUCUGUUUUCUCACCGCAGCCCAGGAACCAACCAUGCUAGUCAUUGAACUGGGUUCUGCUUCAGCUCAUUAUAUUCUUCUGCUUUGCUCUAAUCUGGCCUCUUCUGAGGCAACAGAGCAUGGUGGAAUGGAUUUGCCUCCCAAUAGUUGGGAGCUUGGCUUGCGGGGCUGAACUUCUUGAGACUUUGGGCAGGUGGACUUCUAGCAUCCCUUUCCUGGCAGGGCCUGCUACUUGGAUCACUCCCUUGGUUGCCAGGAAACCUAGUCUUAGGAAGGACUUGUGCCUGUGUCUGUAGGCCCCAGAGAAAAACAGACUCUUCUGACUAACAGAUGCAGAGCAAAGGGCUUGCUCAGGUUAUUUAGGAAGGCAGAUUAGAACACUGGUUGCCCUAACACAGGGCCAGACCCAUGUGGACUCCACUUUAGACUGCAGGGUCCAGGGCUGGACAUGAUGGGCUUCCCAGGAAGAGCAGGAUGCAGCAGAGGCUGUGUCCAUCCAGGGAGGAGGAUGUUGCCUUUUGUUUGUACCCCAGGUCUGGUAAGAGGCUCUCAUGCAGGAUGCUUAUGGAUUGGGAACUGAUUUCAGAGAGCCCCCUAGGCCAUAGCCCCUGCCACAGCCUCCUUUGCCACUGGAGAGAGGUGACCUUCCACUCCAUUGGAAGGAUGACCCCUGAGGACAUUCGCCAGCGAGCAUCUCUCUUCCUCGGCUGCUGGGAGUGUCCCUGGGAGCCCCUUCCAGUCUGACCCCCUCACCAUCUCAGGAGUGACGCCAAGGAAGUUACACAGAUCUGCAUCUGAGACCCAGGGCCCAAUCUGGAUGGGAAAGGCUGAGUUGUCUCUGAUGCUCUCCUGACUCAGGCUCUGCAGGGAGAUGGAGUGGGUACCCUCCUCUUCCCCUUCCUCCCUGGUUUCUCCUCUUAUGCCCUGACCAGGAUUCCUCCCUGAGUCAUUCCAUCCCAUACUGCCACUCAGCUCUGAACUUGAAUGACUGGGUGAUCCCAGCGCCUGCUGCCUGUGAGUGCCUCGGCUCCCUAUGUCCCAUUAGCUGGCAGAGAGCAGGGUCCGUCUUCCUCAGUUACCCUCCAGGUCACCCAGUGUCCCUUGCAGAGGCCUGGUGGUCAGUUCCAUAUAUUGAUGUAGCUAGUUCAUCAUGCUUAAAAUUUUUUUUUUUUUUUAAAUUUAGGGACUUAGGGAAAGAACACAUGAUGAAAAGAUUCUUGGUCCAGCAGCAGUCCCUGAAAUGAAAGGACCGAGACAGAUGGAGCAAGGUCAGGCUUUGGAAGUGGUUCCUGGGUUUGAGGCCAAGCCCUGCCAAUUAUUAAUUCUCUAACCCUAGGCAAGUCACAUUGCCUCAGUGAGCCUCAGUAUCUUCAACCAAAGAUGGAAAAAAUAAAAAUAAAGCUUGCUUCACUUGAACAGAGCAGAUGCCAUACCUGCUUCCCAGCUAGUGCUGAGGCUCUGGGCAGAAGGAAGGCACCGUGAGGCCCUCCCGAGAGAGUUAAAGACUCUGGACAUGCCU